rnacentral:rRNA from 1 species
UACGGGGGGAGCAAGCGUUGUUCGGAUUUACUGGGCGUAAAGGGCGCGUAGGCGGCCUCCGCAAGUCGACUGUGAAAUCUCCGGGCUUAACCCGGAAAGGUCAGCCGAAACCGCGGGGCUAGAGUGCAGAAGGGGCAACUGGAAUUCUCGGUGUAGCGGUGAAAUGCGUAGAUAUCGAGAGGAACACCUGCGGCGAAGGCGGGUUGCUGGGCUGACACUGACGCUGAAGCGCGAAAGCUAGGGGAGCGAACGGG